rnacentral:misc_RNA from 1 species
GAAAUGCGAUAAGUAAUGUGAAUUGCAGAAUUCAGUGAAUCAUCGAAUCUUUGAACGCACAUUGCGCCCGCCAGUAUUCUGGCGGGCAUGCCUGUUCGAGCGUCAUUUCAACCAUCAAGCCCCGGGCUUGUGUUGGGGACCUGCGGCUGCCGCAGGCCCUGAAAAGCAGUGGCGGGCUCGCUGUCACACCGAGCGUAGUAGCAUACAUCUCGCUCUGGGCGUGCUGCGGGUUCCGGCCGUUAAACCACCUUCGUAACCCAAGGUUGACCUCGGAUCAGGUAGGAAGACCCGCCGAACUUAAGC